GCCAGCAACACUAACUUUUGGCGUCAUGUAAUACGAGAAAAUAAUGCCAAAAACGCUAGCAAUUAUCAGAACUCAAAGCGAACGUGAAUUUUAAUAAAAUAUUUAAUAGAAAAACCGACUUUCGCACAUUUUCUUUGUCUGCUAAAGGCUUUUGGGAAGUGGAUAAUCCCUGUCUUGUGAAUAAUAGUGUUUAAAAAUUCGAAGCGGUGAAGAAGUGUGCUGUGGGAUAAAACCAAGAUAAGCCAAAUCGAAGCCCAUCCAGCCCCCACCUAUUACGCCAAAUUUGGAAUGACUGCGAACAAAUUAAGCGAUUCAAGAGUCAUAAUUUAAAAAUAAAAAUAAAGGCAAGAAGAGCGUAUAAAAAAGAAGUAUGAUAAAAAUAUUAUGGGAGCAUUCUUUCACCGUUAGAAGCGUCGAAAAAAAUAGAAUAAUAUUAAACUUAAAAUUAAAUUCUUUUGUUUAUUUCUUUAAACAUUAAUAAAAAAAGACAGUAUUAAUAGGAAAAUUAAAAAUAAAUUGAAUAUUUCCAAGUCUGGAUUGCCUUUCUAUCGCUCUUUGCGUGCGAGUGUGAGGCUAAAUAUUUGUCGCAAACAUUAAUCAACACACUCACACAGCUGAACCUUGCGGAGACAAGCCUCAAAACUAAACGGAGUUACAAUAUACAUAAAUAUAUGUACGUAUAUAUAUCACAACACUGUGUGCAAUGCGCUUCAAAUGUAGAUCAUAAAUGAUCUACACUCUGAGCAAUAUCACAAUUACCAUGCACAGCAGAAGUAAACCAUAUAUGAUGCCUACUUCAAGGCGCGCGCACAAAAAGGCCGAAGCUUGCUCCAAACGAAAAAUAGGAAAACGUCUAAAAAUUAAAAUUUACAGUUUAGACGGCAAUAACUGCCGGUAUGUCCAUGACACAACUCACAUUCAUAUGCAUGUUAUGUACAUACUCAGUUGUACACACAUGCACCGACUGCCUAAAACUAUGCUAUGCUUACAAGCAAAUUUUGAAAGAGAUCACAUUUAGCGUUCCUUAUGUAAUUCGAUUUUCAAUAACUGUUUUUUUUUAAUUUUUUUUAUACAAAUGUAUUUUUUUAAGGUUUUUUUUUUAUCAAAAUAACAAAUCUUCAAUGUUAGCACUAUUGCAAGAGCUAAAAACAUUUCAGAAACAAAUUUACGAUUUCAAUAAAGAUACUUAUGUAUGUAUGUAUGUAGCUAAGCUUAACAAUAAUUGUGGAGCAAAAGUGAAAGAGAGUAAAGUAGAGAGAGUGAGAGAGAGAGAGAGAGAGAGAGAGAGAGAGAGAGAAGGGCAUUCUUACAUCUAAAAUGAUCACGCUGCGCUAUUAAAUGGGUGUGUUGUGCAGUUAAAAUAUUUAUAAAAAAAAAGCUUUCUUAGAAAAUUGUUUACGAGUUGGCUUAGUUGCAAUAGGAAGCAACAGAGUUUGCAAAGAAGUCAAAUUAAUUAAGUCCAUUAAAUAAAAAAAAAAAGAAAAAAAUGCGAAAAUGCAAAACUGAUUGCGCGCUAAAUAGUUAUGCCUCCAAGUGAAGUACACUUUCGGCAUUGAAGUUGAUUUGUGAGCUUUACGACAGGGGAGCAAAAAAAAAAAAAA